GACAGAGGGUGCGAACGUUGUUCGGAAUUACUGGGCGUAAAGCGCGUGUAGGCGGCAGCGUGUGUCGGGCGUGAAAUCCCACGGCUCAACCGUGGAAGUGCACUCGAAACUGCGCAGCUAGAGUCCUGGAGAGGAAGGUGGAAUGCUUGGUGUAGAGGUGAAAUUCGUAGAUAUCAAGCGGAACACCGGUGGCGAAGGCGGCCUUCUGGACAGUGACUGACGCUGAGACGCGAAAGCGUGGGGAGCGAACAGG
rnacentral:rRNA from 1 species